rnacentral:rRNA from 1 species
AGUGAACGCUGGCGGUAGGCCUAACACAUGCAAGUCGAACGGCAGCACAGUAAGAGCUUGCUCUUACGGGUGGCGAGUGGCGGACGGGUGAGGAAUACAUCGGAAUCUACUUUUUCGUGGGGGAUAACGUAGGGAAACUUACGCUAAUACCGCAUACGACCUACGGGUGAAAGCAGGGGAUCUUCGGACCUUGCGCGAUUGAAUGAGCCAAUGUCGGAUGAGCUAGUUGGCGGGGUAAAGGCCCACCAAGGCGACGAUCCGUAGCUGGUCUGAGAGGAUGAUCAGCCACACGGGAACUGAGAAACGGUCCAGACUCCUACGGGAGGCAGCAGUGGGGAAUAUUGGACAAUGGGCGCAAGCCUGAUCCAGCCAUACCGCGUGAGUGAAGAAGGCCUUCGGGUUGUAAAGCCCUGUUGUUGGGAAAGAAAAGCAGCAGGUUAAUACCCCGCUGUUCUGACGGUACCCAAAGAAUAAGCACCGGCUAACUUCGUG